rnacentral:rRNA from 1 species
UGGGGAAUUUUGCACAAUGGGGGAAACCCUGAUGCAGCGACGCCGCGUGAUUUAGAAGGCCUUCGGGUUGUAAAAAUCUUUUCUAUGGGAAGAAAAUGACAGUACCAUAGGAAUAAGGACCGGUUAAUUACGUGCCAGCAGCCGCGGUAAUACGUAAGGUCCGAGCGUUGUCCGGAAUCAUUGGGCGUAAAGGGUACGUAGGCGGGUAAGCAAGUUAGAAGUGAAAUCCUAUAGCUCAACUAUAGUAAGCUUUUAAAACUGCUCAUCUUGAGGUAUGGAAGGGAAAGUGGAAUUCCUAGUGUAGCGGUGAAAUGCGCAGAUAUUAGGAGGAAUACCGGUGGCGAAGGCGACUUUCUGGCCAUAACCUGACGCUGAGGUACGAAAGCGUGGGUAGCAAACAGG